rnacentral:rRNA from 1 species
CAGCCGUAAACGAUGCGUGUUAGGUGUAUCGAUGACCACGAGUCAUCGAGGUGCCGAAGGGAAACCGUGAAACGCGCCGCCUGGGAAGUACGGUCGCAAGGCUGAAACUUAAAGGAAUUGGCGGGGGGAGGCACCACAACAGGUGGAGCCUGCGGUUUAAUCGGACUCAACGCCGGAAAUCUCACCGGAUAGGACAGACAUAUGAUAGUCGGGCUGAAGACUCUACUUGAUGAUCUGAGAGGUGGUGCAUGGCGUCAGUGACU